AAUUACCCUCGAAUCCUCCAUAAAAAAGCCCAACUCUCUCAAGUCUCAACUGUGAUAGAAGCUGUACGAACAUUCCUCAUAAUUCUGCAACUCCCGUAUUGUCCUUUCCUUUACAGAAAAUGAGCAGUGAUCCCAAAUACGCCUAUCCUUACCCUGCUCAACAAGGUAAUCAAUUCAAUCUUUCUUCUGCAAACAACGCACCUUUGUAUCAAGCUCUGUUUUUAGUUGCUCUGUUUUUUUUGGGUGAUUUGGUUGCAGGGUACUAUCAAGGACCGCCGGUGGUUCCGCCGCCGCAAUACGUCGCCGCGCCACCGCCCAGGAAGAAUACCGGAUUUCUCGAAGGAUGGUAUGGAUGAGAAAAAAAAGUUGACUUUCCUCUGUUUCUACUGAACUGACUGAAUGAACUUUAAUUUUCCUCUGUUUUUUAAACAGUUUGGCUGCUUUGUGCUGCUGCUGCUUGAUCGAUGAGUGCUGCGACCCAUCAGUCAUCUGCUUCUUUUGAGAUUUGAGAUUAUUAUGAGAUUUGAAGAUUGGAGUCGAUUACAGUAUCUUGAUGUAAGAACAAGAACUAGUUCAAUGUGUUGUAUCAUUAUGUAAGUUUGAUGUUUGGUGCCAAUAAGGCCGAUCAGCGGCGGCGGAUCAUUUAAUGCACUAGCUGGAUUGUUAUAAUUUUUGAAAUGCAAAGAAAAACAUAUUAAUCAACUUGAAGAAAAUUACAUAUUAUCAUAUUUCUAAACCUCGGACUCGAUCUGUCUAGGAGAGAUCAGUCGAUGCAAAUUAGUUACUACAAACUUCACAAACUGGUAAUCGAGUCCUUCGAUGAGUUUGUUGAAUACAUAAUGUUUGGUGGUGGAUUGUGGAUUGUG
rnacentral:lncRNA from 1 species